rnacentral:rRNA from 1 species
GAAGGUCUUCAGGAUUGUAAAGCACUUUAAGUUGGGAGGAAGGGCAGUAAGCUAAUACCUUGCUGUUUUGACGUUACCGACAGAAUAAGCACCGGCUAACUCUGUGCCAGCAGCCGCGGUAAU